UCUUGACAAAUCAAAUUACCACACGGCUGAGCAAUGGCCUUGCGGUCCAGGCAGACUUGGUGUCUCCAGCUGAUGAUUUGUCCCUGUGUGACGGAGCCUCUGGAUGUGGGAAGAGGGAUUCGGGUAGUGUGACAGCAGCACUUGGCAACACGUGGAGUCACAGCGUCAACACCAGGCUCAUACUCCAGUUUGAUGACUUGCCAACGAGACAGAUCCUGGUUGCUAAAUCCCCUGUUGCUCCAUUCUCCACUUUCUACUACACCAUUGAGAAAUCGGGCUUUGUUCUUCAAGAUGGAAAGGACCAAACAAAUCCAACCUGGGAAGGAACCAACCCUGCCCUGCAGAACAUAAAAGUGAGGAACACUGCCUUAAAAGAUCUUUUACCUGAUGCUGCUUUGCCCAGAACUACUGUAGAGACUCCUAGCAAUGCAUCCAGUUUAUAGAAAGACAAUUGCAACCUAGACUAAGGAAUGAAUGAAUGAAUGAAUGAAUGACAGCACUGUUUUGGUUUUGUUUUUCAAAAAUCCAGUGAAGCAGUCAGAGGACAUUCUUCU